ACAUAUAAUUGGACGACCAAAAGAAAUGUUUCCUUUGGCAGUCUUGUCCAACCGGAAAAGUUCAUUAAAUUAAAUGCGCAAAAGUUGAUGAAGACAAUAACAGGUAUACUAUAAAUUGACUCGUACCCAUGUAUGUGGAACCAGUGUCUUCUGGAAAAUACAAAUACGAUUUAACAUCAGUGAUCAAAGAAUGGAACUGUCAAAAAAUACAGCGUUUUUCAUCUUGAUUGGGAUGAUGCUUAUAACCAGAUGUUAUGGUUGUUCUUGCAAAGUUGCAUUUUCAUCGUACAUUACCGAAGCCAGUGCAAAUUCACAAAGUGCAUCUAUGACAGACGGAGCCAUAAUUAAAUUUGAUAGAAUCGAGGCAAAUUACGGACUGGGAUACAGUACCAAUACAG